rnacentral:lncRNA from 1 species
CACACAACUGGCAAAGGUCUAGUGCUUCGGAUGUUGGACAUGGUGUUUUUGUCCCUGGAGGAUUGGGACUUGGGCCACUGGCAGCCACAAGGCCAAAGCCUGAAUAUUUACCUGGAUGUGUUGUAAUGCCUCAUUCUGAUGCCAGUAACAUUUGAGUCCAGGCUUCAUCUGAACCAAUAUUUACACGCCUAAUAACCCAUGUGUGAAGUGCAGUUCCCAGAAUGAAUUGCUAGGCCCUGUCACUGUGAUGCUGACCACAAGCACUUGGCCCAAGAAAGGCCAUUCUUUAGUCUCCCCAACCCUUUUAGUAGAACUAAUAUUUCCCUUCCAAAUAUUCCUCAGUACAUAGAGUAAGGCUCCUGCUCUCAACCCAGUAUCCAGGAUUUCAGAAAUGCACUUCUGAACUUCUCCAUCCGAGGAGCCACUUGGGUGACAAAGGUGGGACAGCAACAUACUUGAUUGUGAUUUAGGAUCACCAUUGGUGGAAGAUGCUGGCAUUAACAAGACCUGAGAGGACUUCCCACAGCAAAGGCCAGUGCCCAACUGUGAUGACACUAUCCAGCAACUCACCUGCAAAGAGAGUUGGAGCCUCCAGCCGAUAGAAGACAGGGGCCCAGUCUUGGAAAAGAUAUUCCAGGGACUUGAACCAAAACAACAGCAGCAGCAGCAACAACAAACCCUUGAUGGCAUCAAAGGAAAAAGGUGACCAGAAGCAUCACUCCGAGCUGACGUCUAUACUUAAGAUUAGUGUGUCCUUUAAAAGGUUGCCUACAUGGAUUCAAUAAGAGAAACAAACAGGCCAUCUCAUUGUUUCUGCUAUGAGCUCUGAGUGUGGAAAGACCCAAUUUUUGUUUUUUCAUCUACUGUGGUCUAUUGUUAGUGUGUGACCUUUUCAUUUCAUAUUUUUUUCCCUUUCUUUGUUGGGGGAGGAUUGUGUUCUGAAUGGUAAAAAACAAACAAGCAAGUAAACAAACA